rnacentral:misc_RNA from 1 species
GAUGAAGAACGUAGCGAAACGCGAUAGUUAAUGUGAAUUGCAGAAUUCAGUGAAUCAUCGAGUCUUUGAACGCACAUUGAGCCCCCUGGUAUUCCGGGGGGCAUGCCUGUCCGAGCGUCAUUGCUGCCCAUCAAGCGCGGCUUGUGUGUUGGGCCGCCGUCCGCCUUCCCCCCCGGGGGGAGGGGGACGGGCCCGAAAGGCAGCGGCGGCACCGCGUCCGGUCCUCGAGCGUAUGGGGCUCUGUCACCCGCUCUGGAGGCCCGGCCGGCGCCCGCCGACCCCCAACCUUCUUCUAACCAGGUUGACCUCGGAUCAGGUAGGGAUACCCGCUGAACUUAAGCAUAUCAAUAAGCGGAGGA